GUCCUCUUGUUUUAUAUAUGAGGUCUGACCUGCCCAGUGAUAAAGUUUUAACGGCCGCGGUAUUUUGACCGUGCAAAGGUAGCAUAAUCAUUAGUCUUUUAAUAGGAGGCUUGUAUGAAGGGUUUGACGAGUUGUUAGCUGUCUCAUUUAAUUUGAAAUUAAAAUUUAACUUUUCAGUUAAAAGGCUGAAAUUAAUUUGGAAGACGAGAAGACCCUAUAGAUCUUUAUAAAUAAUUAUUUUAUUUAAAUUUUUGAUAUAUUAUAUUUAUUUAUUAUUUUAUUUAUUUUGUUGGGGUGACAAAAAUAUAUAAUUAACUUUUUUAUUUUAAUAACAUUGAUUUAUGAUUUAUUAGAUCCAUUCUUAUUGAUUGUUAGAUUAAGUUACCUUAGGGAUAACAGCGUAAUCUCCCUCCAGAGUUCAUAUUUACGGGGAGGCUUGCGACCUCGAUGUUGGAUUAAGAUAAUAAUUAGGUGUAGCCGCUUAAUAUAUAGGUCUGUUCGACCUUUAAAUUCUU
rnacentral:rRNA from 1 species